rnacentral:rRNA from 1 species
GUCUACGGCCACGCCACCCUGAACAAGCCCGAUCCCGUCUCUGAUCUUGGAAACUAAGCAGGGUCGGGCCAGGUUAGUACUAGGAUGGGAGACCACCUAGGAAGACCAGGUGCUGUAGGCG